UUAAGUGCCGACGAUUACAACUACGCACUGGCUGCCUAAGGGCGCCACAUUCUCCUAGAGUUCGCCCGCCGACUCAUGUGAGAAUGUCAAAUCAGACGGGCAAACCUGUUGAUCCUGCCCCGGGGUCAGCGGGGAACACAGGGGCAAGGGAUAUAUGAAGCCUGUCUGCGGGCGGCAUGUAUCCGACAUGAGUACACAGACUAAGCAUGUAGCCGCCUUUGGUUGAAGGCCUUCGGACGGGGGUUCGAUUCCCCCC
rnacentral:tmRNA from 1 species